rnacentral:rRNA from 1 species
UACGAAGGGGGCUAGCGUUGCUCGGAAUUACUGGGCGUAAAGGGAGCGUAGGCGGACAGUUAAGUCAGUGGUGAAAGCCCAGAGCUCAACUCUGGAAUAGCCUUUGAUACUGAUUGUCUUGAGUAUGGGAGAGGUAUGCGGAACUCCGAGUGUAGAGGUGAAAUUCGUAGAUAUUCGGAAGAACACCAGGGGCGAAGGCGGCAUACUGGCCCAUUACUGACGCUGAGGCUCGAAAGCGUGGGGAGCAAACAGG